UUGACCUUGGAUCAGGUAGGAAUACCCGCUGAACUUAA
rnacentral:rRNA from 1 species